rnacentral:rRNA from 1 species
UACGUAGGGGGCGAGCGUUAUUCGGAAUUAUUGGGCGUAAAGGGCGCGUAGGCGGCUAGAUGUGUCAAAGGUGAAAUCCCUCGGCUCAACUGAGGAACUGCCUUUGAAACUGUCUGGCUUGAGGCCGGGAGAGGGUAGCGGAAUUCCCAGUGUAGCGGUGAAAUGCGUAGAUAUCAGGAGGAACACCGGUGGCGAAGGCGGGUCUCUGGGCAACAACUGACGCUGAGGAGCGAAAGCGUGGGGAGCGAACAGG